GUGUGCCAGUACCAGCCGCUCAAAGCACUUCAUAACAAUGGGUGUGGGUGCUACCGGUAGUCGUUCAGGCACGUUGGACUAGAGUGUUUCGGCACUGGCACAAUGCAGAUGGAUUUCAAGCAUGCUGGCACAGCUGCUUGAGGAAGGGACAGGUUCAAAAUAUCCGUAAAGACCCCAGCGAGCUGCUCUGCACAUGCCUUGAGUACGCGACCGGGAUGCCGUCUGGUCCAGCAGCCUUGCGCGCGUGUGUGAAAGUGUAUAAGCUUAGGUUGCAGUGUAACACUUACUGAAAGGCUGUGGGUUGUUUGCUAGCACAGAAAAUAAAUAAAAAGUCCAUGUUUAUGUAACGCUACUACGGCAUCUUCUACUCUUCACAGCAGAGUUGCUCCAGACUGUGAAAAGCUGGCUAGAUUCAUCGUACCCACAGCUUCCAGCUCCGCAGCUCUGAAACGUUGUGGGAGACCUCUGGUUUUAGGCUAUUUUAAUCGACUUAAGCCUGACUCGUCACAAGUAUAAGAGGGAUAGUCAUAAAAUAUUCAGUGAGAAGAACAGGAGCGUAGUCGAAUAUGACUAAUAAAUCAAUUAUGCUUCUUGUGGAGAGCAGAACCAAGUGAACAGUCUUGUGAUGGGCACCUGGGGAUGUGAUGUCAUCACUCAAUAUCCAAGUCUGAUGAUGAACAGGGAGUUUUUCUCAGUGCCUCCUCUGUCGAUUAUCAAACGGGCUCACCUUGUCUUUUCUGUGACGCAAGAUCGAUACAAAAACAGCAUGUGCAUUUUGCAAUAACCCUGCUCUCAUUCAAAUCAAUAUGCCACAUGAGGGGUUUGGACUUAAUUUCUGCAUUAGCACCAUGACAACCCUCAGUCUCUUGUGUUGUACAUUGCUGCAAUGACAAGGUUUUUCAUAUAACCCUCCCCAUUUGUAUAAAUAAUGUAGCAUUGUGUGGCAGUACACAUAAUGAUUUGUGCUUGUCUUCAGCACUUCUCUUACUGCACAGAGAGUCUGAUGGAAAAUCUCAGAGUAGGAGAAGAGAGCAAAAUCAAUAAUCUAUUCUAUUUAAUGGGCUGGAGUGUCACAGUAACGAGAUAGGAGUGGAUGAGUCGAAUCGUCCAUUGCCAAAUCUUAACAGAAGGUUGCACACAGAGACUCUCUCUUUCCCUUCCCAUCUUUCUGCCUCUCUGUCUCCUUCCUGUCAUGUGCACAGUUACACAUGUACACCCUCUCUCUCUCUGUCACACAAGUGAACACACACACACAUACACAAAUGCACAGAAACACACACACUCCUCUGUGCCCCAAUUCAUUUGUCAUCUAUAAAUCUUUAUUUAUGAUUAGCAUCAAUUCAGAGUAUAAUGUUAAGAUUUCCUAUUCUCUUAAUCUUUGCUAUGCUCAUCAUCCACUAAAUAUUUCAGUUUUGAGAUACAGUAUUAAAUUUCACACAUGCCACAGAAGCACCCUUGUAAUGUUUAAAAAGGACUGGCAGCUUCUGUUUACCUUCUUUGUACAACUGAUAGCAAAACACUGGCUGUUCUACUUAUCACUGACUUGUAUUGCCAAACUCAUGCAUAGGAAAUUAUUUGAAAGACUUUUGACUUUAAAGCCUGUUUUCUCCACGUUGUUCUCUCCUCUACCCAUCGACGUUUCAGUAUCGACUUCUAAAUUAAUCUCUGUGAUUAAGCUAUACAGGAAGGUGACGGUUUCAUUCCUUGUAUUACAAACAGAAGAUUUAGUUGUGUUUCUCUGUCGCUCUGACUUGGCAGGCAAUAUUGGCAGUGCAAUGAUUUCAUACUUGGCUGAUGGAAAUUGGAAAUCAUCCUCUGAAACAAUGGUAUUGUCUGCUGCCUUUUCUGAAUACAGUCCGCUGUUGAACAGCGUGAUAUGAGUUUCAAACACCUUCUCCUCCCACACAAAGCCUGUUAGUAGUACUUGUGGACACCUUGACCUUUAGUAGAUAUUUCAGUCUUGUAACACGUGAAUUACAGUGUGUUUCAUGGAGCCACUGCUGGAUGAUAUGAAGUCUCAUUAGUAACUACUCCAUGAUUACCGAGAAGGGUUAUUCGGCAUAUAGAGGAUUCAUUGGCACUUUUAACUCUGUUUACUUAACAAUAAGAUUGCAAAAUCAUAAGUGGUUACCAAGGAAUAAAUCCAUAGCUAUUUUAUGAGUUUCUACAAAGUGUCAUGGUUUGAGGGUUUAUGUAUUUAUGUAUUAUGUGAUUUCCUGUUUUAUUUUGGUAAGAGUUCUCCCUCAUGUGUUUUGUAGUUUUACUUCCUGCUUUUGAUUGUUACCCUGCCCUGAUCAGUUUCACCUGUUUCUCGUUGUCUCCCAUCUCCUAUGCUAGUUAAGUCUGUGUUCCUCCUUUGUUCUGUGCCAGUUCGUCUUCAUCAGUUGUGUGUCAAGCAGUCCUUCUCUCCAGUGUUUCCUUGGAUAUUUACUGUGUACCUUGGACUUUUGCUCAUUUUUGGACUUUUGGAUUCCCUGCCUGCUCCCUACAGAUUUAUGUUUACCUGUUUUGACUGCCUUUUAAAUUUGAUCUCUGCCUGCCUCAGCACUGAAAUGCUGCGGGGAGGGGGGCUACUCUGCCGGCCACGCACCUGCAGGACGUGUUUCUUGGAGACAGAACAGAGCACUGUUCCAGUGAUGCGUGGAUCGCAGUUAUAUCCAUGGGGCCUGCUGAUAAUCCGUGGAUCAGGUGAAGACUGCAUAAGGAACUGGAUGGCAGGAACAUAAGGACGGCAUAAGGUCCUCCUCUCAAGGACUUCCCAUAUCAAAGGGCCAUGGAAAUCUUCUACAAGAAGCUCAGAAGAGUAUAAUGCUCCAACAAAUCCUGCAAGCAUUGUCACUAAAUAAUAAUAAUAAUUAUUAUAAUAAUAAAUACAUACAUAUAUUUAAAACAUUGUCUGCAUUUUCCCAGUACUAUAUUACUUGAAAAGGUCAUGGAAAAUGACUGUAUUUAAUACAAACUCCCCACAGGAAACACUGGGAAUGCAAUCUGUGAUAUAUGAUUAACAGGGAUAUUACAGGUGUUUACAUAACCAUUUAUGUUGAUGGAAAAAAUAGUAGACAUAAUGUAUAACAAUGUGUAUAAACAAUGUUGCCAACCCUUAGACAUUAAAGAAACUGAAAGGAGACCACUGAGUAACAGAGGUGUUUCUGAUACAUUUUGAAGAAAUAUUUGGAAGAUCGUAGAUGGAUAAAUGCUGUAAUUUAUUUUAAUAUUUAAAGACACCAGUAGCAAUCAGAAUAAUUUAGAUGUACAAUAGUUUCUGUAGUGUUGUUAUUACUCUCUUUAAUUAAUUUAUUUUCAUCACAUAACCGUCUGGCUCUGUAUCUAUGUAGUUUUUAACAGAAGAAUUAUAGUAAAGCGCUGGGCAUGUGUGGGAAUAGCCAUAAGCCCCCAGCUGAGCACUGCUGUGGUGGAGUUUUCCACAGAGAACGAGAGGGUCACCUCUAUGCUACAGCAUGUUGCAGGAAGGAAGGCUGUGACUGUUUGUGCCUAUGGGCUUAACAGCAAUUUGGAGUAUCCCCUGUCCUUGGACUCUCUUGGUGGGGUUGUGGAGAAGGCACUGCCUGAGGACUUAAUGUUUGGAUGCUGGGGAACUCAAGGCAUGUCUUGGACACUCAGGUAAAGAAAGAACCGAACUGUUAACUGAUCAUGACCAUGUGGUGACUUGGAUCAUGUAGCAGGGGGAAGCUGCCGGAAAGAACCCAAACAUGCAGUGAAUCUCUGAAAGAGACCACACUGGGGGACGCUACAUGGAAUUGGAGUGGGCCAUGUUCAAAGCCAGAUGCAGGUGCUCUGAGUUUCGGUCAUAGGGUGGUCGGUGCCUGUUGUGACGCAACCCAAGAAUCCACUGGUGAAGGAAGCUGUAAAGAAGAAGGAGGCUUUUCAAGCAUGGUUGGCCCAGGCCCACUGAAUCUACAGUGCAGUACUGAGAGACCAGAAGUGCUACAGCUUCUGUGGUCAUAGGGCCAAAAAUACAGUGUGGGAAGGAUCAGUCGGCCUCAAAGAGUUUCUGGCAAACCAUAGAGCCUUGCCCUUACUGUUUUCAUCAGGGGAGGUGAAAUUAUGUUGGGCAGUGGAAGAAACACUUUAUGAGCUCCUGAACAUGAGAAACACAUCCUCUGUGAAAGAGACAGAAUCAGAAGACUUGGGGGAGGCCUUGCCACAAGUAAGCUGAAAGCUUGUGCAGUGUCCUGUUGGUGACCUCAGAAUCAUAUCUUUGCUUUCUGCUUAUUAGCAGAAAGCCUGCACUUGGUCGGUUUCCAGCUCCACUUCUGAGUCUGAGGCCAUAGCACUUGCCAGAAAACGGUGAAUUGCCUUCAGGUAGAGAGCGGGUAACUGCUCCCAGUGAAGGAGUAGCCUGAGGUCUGCUUGUUGCAUUGUCUACAGUGAUACAGACUUUGUACCAGACUAGUAAAGAGGGUGCUCAUUCUGAUGGUGAAGCUUUUGAAUUACCAGUCGAUCUACAUUCCAACCCUCACCUGUGGUCACAAGCUCUCGGUACAGACCAAAAAAUUGAGAUUGAAGAUGCAGUACGAGCUGCCAAAAUAUGUUUCCUUUGCAAGGUGUCCAACCGUGCCCUUAAGGAUGGAGAGGAGCGUGUACAUCCAGAAUAAGCUUCCACUGCUUGUUUGCUUCUUCAUUGAAAAGAGUAAGUUAAGGUGUUCUGAUCUGAUCGCGAUGCAUCCUGGUCACAUUCUUGUGGAGGGGCCAGUCCAACUGGGAGGAGAUCCUAGGGCAGAUCCACAACAAGCUGGUGGAAUUACCUAUCCCACCUGGUCUGGAAAAGCGUUGGGAUCCCCCAGGAGGAGCUGAAGGACGUGCCUCAGCAGAAGGGCAUCUUGGCUGCCUGUUGCUACUGUGAUUUAACCCAGAUAAAUGGAGGAAAAUGGAUGGCAAUUAAACAUCAUGUUAUAAAGCAUUUGUUAAUUGUUUAUACACAUUCUAUACAAAUUUUACAGAUGACUUUAAAAUUGUGCUAAAUGUGUUAUCAAGUGCUGUUUUACA